GAGUUACGGUGGUUUAAAAAAAAAAAAAAAAAAAAAAAGUUCAUUUGUAACAUUUUGACAUUUUAUCACUAGGGGGCAGUCAUGAUCAACUCCUGAGUAUAUCCUACUACAACAAUGACAAUACAGAAAUCACACUGUGAGCGAUGAUGCGAGAGUAAACCAAAUCCCACUGGGUUACCUGCCGCUUCCACUGUUCGAUCUUUGCAGCUUCAUUUUCUGAAAAAA